ACAGAGGCAGGAUGACAGAGGAGCCCUUCUUCCCUCUCAGUCCCCCUCCUCACUCUCUCCCUUACCUCAUCUCUUGCAGGGCCUGGAGCAGAGUCCGCUGUCCAUAGAGCAGGGUGCCGACCUGGGCAGUGUUCUACAGGAGGGCCAACUCUUAUCCCGUGUCCCGAGUGCAGUGCCCUUUCCUCAGAGGGCAUCUUCCCCACGGAUACGUCACUCUUCUUCUAGAAGCCUUCCUAAACAGCCAUGGGUCUCCUCUGUUUGGCACACUGAGUCUCCCAUAGAACUUACCUACCUGGGCUUCUGCAGGCCCCUCCUUCCACACCAAAGGCUGCAAUCCAAACUAAGGGCCAGCACUGGUUAAAAUCCAGCACAUGGGUCCAAGUCUGGCAGAGUGACCUGGAGACAUAGUUGACACUCUGAGGAGUGGAGUCAUGUAAGUGGGGUUCAGGGUAUGAAGGCAGGAUCAGAGAUUCCAGGAGUGUGGGUCUCUGUGCCACUCCAACAGCCUAGCCUAGACUAUUCUGAACUGAGGACAAAAGAUUAAAGCCUUGGGCUGGCAGAGCCCAGCAAAACCUGCAUGAACGGCUGCUGGCUGGCUCCCUCUGCCCACUAGCCAGCACUUUGGUUGAGUUUACCUUUCACUCCCCAAGUCAGAGCAUGGCCUAUGGAAUGACACCUGGGGAGGAGCUAGGGUGGCAGCAGAGAUGAAAUGAGGAUUCUGGUGCAACUGAGCAUUUAAGCAAGUCUUAUGCAAAUCACACGUGAAGCCAUAUGCAAAUUAGAGCCUAGUCUAUUUCUGCCAUUUGUCUAUAGACCAGAUUCCAAAUACCUGGCAUGUCUUCUCUGCAGCCCAGCCCUGUGGCUCCAGGACAAUUGCUAUGUGUUAAUGUCCUCUUACAUACCUCCUUGUUGCAUGCCGUGACCUGCCCUCCUUUCCCUCUAAGCUUUGACGAGGCUAGCUCUAGACUGCCACUAUUCUUUCAAGCUGUGGAUAGUAACUAGGGUACCCCGGGGUCACUCACCCAGCCUCCUUCAGGCCUGACUUGAACUGUAGACCCUAGCUGCUGUUUCCACUGCCUCUCGGCCUGGUCCAGCUGCCUGGAGAGAGCCUGGAGGGCUUGCAGGAUCUGGCUUUGUCUGCCCAGUGUAUCCUCCAGGUCAAAGAACCCUUCCCCUAGGGAUUAGGGCAAAGCCAAGAUGGAAAGACCACUGGGGUGGGGAAAAUGAGGAGGUGUAGAUUCUGUUUCUAAGACCCUCCCCUGGAAAAUGGGUCUGGGGGCUGGCAAGCAGGGUGAGCAACAGAAAAAUGCUUGCCAGGAAAACUUGGAAAUGUAAUUUUGAUCCCCAAAUUCACCAGAACCCAUGUAAAGGUAGAAGGAGAGAAUAGAUUCCACAAAGUUGUCCUCUGACUGCCACACAAAUGUGUGCGCGUGCGCACACACACACACACACACACACACACACACACACUUUCCACGUGCACAUGCUCAUGUACACAAGCUGAAAAAUAAAAUGUGUCUGGGGGGUCAUAGGUCAGACUACUUGGUCCAGUUUCUGCUUAGAUACAGCCUGCUUGGGCCUCCACUUCUCCAUUGGUUAAUGGACUUUGUGUUCUAAGGUUCCUGUGGCCCUCCAAUGUGCCAUGGCCCCACCUGCCUGCUCCUUGGGUACUUACCUUCUUCCUGGGCUUUGGAGUCCAGCGGUUGAAUGCUGUCCUUGCUGGUACUCAGGGCCAGCCUUGUCUGCAGCCCUUUUAGCAUCCUGGUCAGGCGAAACUUCUCCUUCUCCAUGAAAGUCUGGGGGGCCACCUGAAAGAAAAAGACAGAAAGUCAACCCCAAAUGCAUGGGAGUCCUGUGAGGGCAGCCUUCCCCCAACAGCCUCAAGGUCCCGGGGAGCCCAGUCUUCCUCCCUAACCACAUACUCCCUGGGAUCAAAGAGGAACCCACAGCUCAACCACCAGGCCCCCAUGGAACCCCGCAGUCAUAUGAGCACCGUACCUACCUCAUCCUUACAUCCUUCUCUACUCACUGAGCUCAGGUCUUUGGACAUUUUAAGCCUUUGUGUAUGGUGCUCAUUUAGGCUCAUCUCCUCCUGGCAUCCUUCUCCCCCCUCCUCGCUGACUCAGACCCCUCUUUAGUGUUCCUUCUGUUCCCCUCUGACCCUGACCCUGGGUUGUUUUGGUUUUGUUUGUUGUUGUUGAGACAAUGUCCUAACUGUGCUGCCCUGACCUGGCACCCAGAGAGUGCUGGAAUUAAAGGUAAUUGUCAUCUAGGAAGCCUAGAGGACGAGCCCUGGCCCCUACACUACUCAGCCCAGAGCUUGACUUUGGCAAAGCUCAGAGAGCUAGCUGAGACAAGAACGAGAAGGGCAGAUCUAAGAUGCCCUGUUGUGAGUGGAGGCGUCUGAGGAGAGCCGCAUCUCAGGCUACCUCUCCCAGGCAGAAAGGGCUGGCGUUACCUCUGGACCUGGUUCCCACAAACUGAAGGUCAGGAAGGACAGGAUAUCAUGGUCAUCUGGAAGGGGGACAGAUGAAGGGGAGAUGAGGAGCUUUUUACCCAGAAGUUCAUCCAUCCAGACUCUACUGUUUUCUGGGAAAAUAAGAGGCUUGUAUGACUCUGGGCAACUCUGACCUUUGUCUCACAGGGAAGGUAUGAAGGUAAAUACCCAAGUGUGUGUGGAUAUGUGAGUUGAACCACACACAGCCAGAGUGGGUCCCAGCAGCCAUGCAGCAGACCACAGGGCACUGAAGGCUGCUACUGCAAUUGCAGGCACACAGUGGCUGCUUCCCAGCAUGCUUGUAGCCAUGCCACUCUUCCCUCCUUAGGAACCUUCCAUGGCUCCCCAGUACCCAGGGUCUAAAGACUAAAGUCUUGGUAGUCACAGAUUCCCACUCUCCAGUUGCAGCCUGCUUUUCAGUUGUAGGACCCUCCGUGGGCUCUCCACUGCAAGACAUCCUGUUAUUCCCUACUGUAGCUCAUGCUGUCCCCCUUUUUACCAUCCUACAGCACCUAAAGUGAAUUUACGGAGAUGGAUACUAGAAUAUAAAUUUUCUCAUUGCUAUCUCAUUUGAGACCUUUUUCGAGACAGGGUCUCUGUAGCCCGGGUUGACCUGUAAAUCUGCUGUGUAGCAGAGGAUAACUUUGAACUCCUGAUCCCCCACCUCUGCCUCCCAAGUGCUGUGAGUACAGGCAUUCACCACCACACCUGGGAUCCUGAAUGCUGCCUCAGCACUCACCAACAGAGCUACAUUACCAGUUUCCCAUUUGAGACUUUCAAUAGUCCUUCAAGGCCAAUGUGACCUCCUGAUGGAGAAGCCAGAGAAGGAGGGUGACCAGCCCAGCCCAGAUGAAGUAGUUAACACCAUACAAAGGUGUUUUAGAAGCUGCAAUAAAGUUUCAUCAUCACCAAA